UUAUUUACCACUUUUUAGUUUUUAUUAGUGUUACCCACAAAAAAGUUUGUUCUUUUAUGAAGUGGGUUGUGUUUUAUAUGCUAUAAUUUGGUUAGUAUUGGAUUAUUUAAGUUUGCUUAUGAAAUGGGUAAUUAUUAUUUUUGAAGGAAUGAAAUUGUAUAAGUAUUAAUUUAACUUUAUUGGAGAUCUAGUUUUGCUAAUUUCUUAAUUUUAGCUUAUUGUAAAGUAAAAUUCCCACUGAAUUUUUAGUUAUUGCUUUUGCUUGGAGCUGUUUUUGUUGGGUUAGAGUUAUAUAUAUUUAUAUUAUGUUCGCAUAUAUAUGAAAUAUUUAGGAUGUAGUUAAUGGUUGAAGUGGUUAAUUGAUGUGAAAUAGGUUUUGUUUUCUUUUUUCCUAGUAGAAAGAUGAUCAUGAUGUUGUCCAAGUUAGAUGCUUAACUUAGACACGUACUAGAUUUAAGUGGACGCAAUGCGUGCUUCAAGUUAUAAAAACAUGUACAAUAGUUAUAAUAUAUUAAUAUUAAAUUUUAAAAUAGUAAAAAAAAAAGGAUAUUAAGGUAUUUUAGGUGGACACCAAACCUACUCGAGAGUUGGCUUAUAUAAUAGAGAUUGUUAAUGAUGAUUGGCAGAAAGUAUGUCAUGGAAUGAAGGUACACCUGAUCUGACAAGUUAGUCUAUUAUGUUUUGGGGAACAUGAUGAUCCUUCUCAUAUAUAAAAGGUCAGGUGCUCUGUACAUGACAGGAUCACGGUAUUGCCGGGAACACUUAAGGUUUGACAUAGUUGGACCAGUUUUGUCCAUGUUUUGUGAGGUGUCGUGGUGAACACUACAGUAAUUAGUGUUCUUGUGAGUUGCAAAACUAUAGUCUAUAGACCAACACUUGCAAAGUUUUGGAUGCACGACCUUUACCUGUAUGGAAAAUGCAUGUGGAAAUCAAAGGUUGCAGAGGGUUGUUAUGUUUACAUUUUUUUUGGGUAAUAUAACACCAUUAAUGAGGUGCAGAUUUGAGAACAAAUAAAGUUCUUCACUUCUUUUUCACGAUGUGAUUUCCAUGUGUCUAUUUGUGUGGAGAAACCGAAAAACCACUUAUUUUUGCACUGUGAAUGCUACAUUUGUUUGGUAUAAGCUUUCUGAGGUUUUGAGAGUAGAGUGAAUUAGCUCCAUCUCUCUUUCGCGCACCUGCUAGUUUCUCAUAUUGAUUUGUGUUGGCUGGGAUAGUGCUGCACUGCUGCUAGUAGCAUUGCGACAUUGGGCAUGUGUUGUGCUUUUGUGGAUGUUGCUGUUGAAAGGGAAUGACUGGAUUAUUGGGAUAGCACUUUUUGUGAGAUAGAAUGUCUUCUUGGUAUCUCUAAUGUCUUUGAUCUCAUGCCUUUGGGGCUUUCCAAGGGUUGUUUGUAUCUGAUUUAGAAUGCGAUUGACAAUUUGGUACACACGGUUUCAAGCACUUGAGAACUCCCUACUUCUUGUCUAUUCUGUUGUAUUAUGUAUCACUUUUACUAAUAAUUUAUAGUGGGAUUUAUGAUGGCAAUUUCACUUAGAGAUAGAAGCUUUAUAUAGCCAAUUUUAUCUAAGCGAGAUAUUUUGAUGACAUGAGAUCUGCAUGUUGAACCAAGCUCAUUAAACUAUGUAGGUAAGUGAGUGGACAGUUUCUGUCUUUUGUGAUUGGGGGCAUGGAGAGUGUUGGAGAGGGUGUGUAGUAGGCAGGUGGCAGAGGGGAGUUGUGCUUGGGUUUGUAAAUGGUAUUUUCCAGCGGAAAACAUAUUGUUUUAAGUAUUUAGUUGAUUUGAUUUGGUGUGAAUUAUAUAUUCUAUAAUAUUUUUUUCAUCACAAGUUUUCGUGAAUCCAUUAUAAAGUUGUUGCUAUGGUGUGUACAAUGGCUUUUGUGAAGCUGCCAAUCUUUGUGAAGCUGCCUAGUAACAUCAACUUUGCUUACUAUCAUGCAAAUAGUUCCUUUUUUCUAAUAUGUUACUUCCAAGUUUCAUGUAUCACUUUCAAAAUGGAACCCAAACAAAAUUAAACAGUCAAACAUGUUUCCGCCGAUAGGUUAUCAGCCUAACCAAGCACUGUCUCAGUAAGCUGUAUAUGGUGAAGUGGAGCUUUUGUUGAGUUUAUGAAUCCUUAAUACUGAUUUUUUGAUUAAAAGAAUCAUAUUUCGAGUCGGCAAUACUUUGUUUUGGUCCAUGAGUUUCUUGCCUCAGAAUAUCUAGUUAAAUAGUCAGCGAGCAAGUCAGAAGUGUAGAAAGGAAUCUUUUCUGGCAGUGCUGUAAUAUAAGGUUCUUACUGCUCUGAGUGAUGGUCCUUUGCUUGGUGAGAGACGUCUUGAUAGGAAAGGUGAUUGGUGAAGAGGUAAGAGGGGAGAAACAAGUUACGAUAGAUACUUCUUCCGUGGGAAUUCCAUUUUCAAGAUAACACUGAUAAUUCCUUUCCAGUGGGGGAGACCCAAAUAAUAAUGGUGCAUAAGUCAAACGGCUUAUUUCUUGAAGUAUCCAUUUGUUUCAUAAAGAAGAGUCUUCCCUUGUUCAUGUCUCAAACACGGGCCAGGGAAUUAGCGAUGAUCAAGCUGGCAUAAGGAACUAUUUCAUUGCCACUGCAACCUUAAGGCAAUGUCGUAUUACCAUCCGUAAUGCAUAGGCCAGUGGUACAAAUCUUGGGGAUGAGGAUUAUGGAGGAGGAUGAUGUAACAUGGAACCCUGAGAAGAUGGGUUUCUAGUUUUUCGAGGAAGAGAAGCUGGGAUCAAAAAUUAUAGUCGAGGGUUAAUGAUAAUAAUGGUAUUAUGGAGAAGGCCUUUUUUUAUUUAAGGGGUUGAUCUCUUCCUUUUCUCUUUUGUUGUCAGUUGUGAGGACGUCUUUUCCUCUGCUUGUAGUUUCCUACUUUUAUUUAUCCUAAUAACUCUUUUUUAGCAUGUGGAA